GCGGGGCAGGCGUGGGUGCACCCAGACCCCCCAACCCUGAUGUCCCCAAUACCAAGGGCAGAGAGCAGCCCUGGCCGGUCCUUGGAGGAUGCGGGCGCCGAGGGGGCCGGGGUCAGUCGGUUCAGAGUCGGAGCAUAAGCCCGGUGGCCGAGUCGGCCGGGUGGUGGGGCGCCGGGGGGGCCGGAGCCGGGCAGGGCAGUGACCCGCUUGCCGGGGUCAAAGUCGCCAGUGUGGGCCGCGGAAGAGGAGCGGCCAGGCGGGGCGCAGACACCCCUCACCCCAUCCUGGGCCGCGCCGGUGCCACCGGGCAGUCCUCGGGGCAGGAGCCCACCGAGGGGAGACAGCGCUGCCUCAGUCCGAGACCUCUGUGAAUGGCGGUGAUGGCUAAUGGGAUGAGGGGGACCACCUCCUGGUGGCUGCAGGGACUGGGGUGAGGGUGCUGUAGGCUCUGCCUAAGUCAAGUGCCAUGGGGCUGAAGAGACGGCGCACCGGCCCUGGAGAAGAGUCCUCCCUGCCCUCCUGUGUCUGGCCUUGUUUCCUGGAGGACAGGUCCCCACGGGGCAGAGGCCCAGCAGUCCCAGGGUCCUCAGCUUCCACCACCCCCAGGCGACGUCUGCUCACCCUGGCUGCCCGCAGCAAGAUUCCUGUUAUCUGGGUAGAGUCCUCAGCCUCCGCCACCCCCAGGCGAUGUCUGCUCACCUUGCCUGCCUUAAGCAAGAUUCCUGUUACCUGGGUAGAGUCCUCAGCCUCUGCUACCCACAGGCAAUGUCUGCUCACCCUGCCUGCCUUCAGCAGGCUUCCUUUUACCUGGGUUCCUUAGCCUCUGCCACCUCCAGGCCGUGUCUGCUAACCCUGUCUGCCGUCAGCAAGCUUCAUUUUACCUGGGUAGGGUUCUCAGCCUCCGCCACCCCCAGGCGAUGUCUGCUAACCCUGCCUGCCCUCAGCAAGCUUCCUGUUUCC
rnacentral:lncRNA from 1 species